CAGCAGCCGCGGUAAUACGGAGGGUGCGAGCGUUAAUCGGAAUUACUGGGCGUAAAGCGCAUGCAGGUGGUUUGUUAAGUCAGAUGUGAAAGCCCGGGGCUCAACCUCGGAAUUGCAUUUGAAACUGGCAGACUAGAGUACUGUAGAGGGGGGUAGAAUUUCAGGUGUAGCGGUGAAAUGCGUAGAGAUCUGAAGGAAUACCGGUGGCGAAGGCGGCCCCCUGGACAGAUACUGACACUCAGAUGCGAAAGCGUGGGGAGCAAACAGGAUUAGAUACCCUGGUAGUCCACGCCGUAAACGAUGUCUACUUGGAGGUUGUGGCCUUGAGCCGUGGCUUUCGGAGCUAACGCGUUAAGUAGACCGCCUGGGGAGUACGGUCGCAAGAUUAAAACUCAAAGGAAUUGACGG
rnacentral:rRNA from 1 species